UACGGGGGGGGCAAGCGUUGUUCGGAAUUACUGGGCGUAAAGCGCGUGUAGGCGGCCCUGCAAGUCGGGUGUGAAAUCCCACGGCUCAACCGUGGAAGUGCACUCGAAACUGCAGGGCUAGAGUCCUGGAGAGGAAGGUGGAAUGCUUGGUGUAGAGGUGAAAUUCGUAGAUAUCAGGAGGAACACCCGUGGCGAAAGCGGCUCUCUGGGACGGUACUGACGCUGAGACGCGAAAGCGUGGGGAGCAAACAGG
rnacentral:rRNA from 1 species